rnacentral:rRNA from 1 species
AACGAACGCUGGCGGCAUGCCUAACACAUGCAAGUCGAACGAGACCUUCGGGUCUAGUGGCGCACGGGUGCGUAACGCGUGGGAACCUGCCUUUAGGUUCGGAAUAACUCAGAGAAAUUUGAGCUAAUACCGGAUGAUGUCUUCGGACCAAAGAUUUAUCGCCUUUAGAUGGGCCCGCGUUGGAUUAGCUAGUUGGUGGGGUAAAGGCCUACCAAGGCGACGAUCCAUAGCUGGUCUGAGAGGAUGAUCAGCCACACUGGGACUGAGACACGGCCCAGACUCCUCCGGGCGGCAGCGGUGGGGCCUCUUGGCCCCUGGGCGCCCGCCUGAUCCAGCAAUGCCGCGUGAGUGAUGAAGGCCUUAGGGUUGUCCAGCUCUUUUCCCCGCGCUGAUACUGCCCGUCUCGGGCGAAUAAGCUCCGGCUCCCUCCGUG